rnacentral:sRNA from 1 species
GUUCGCGCCGCGGUCGCCGGCUGCUUACGUGGGCGGGCCCAGUGUGCGGCUGCGGGUGCGGGUCGCUAUGGCGGUGGACAUCACGCUGCUAUUCCGGGCCAGCGUCAAGACCGUGAAGACGCGGAACAAGGCGCUGGGAGUGGCGGUGGGUGGCGGGGUCGAUGGCAGCCGGGAUGAGCUGUUCCGCCGGAGCCCCCGGCCCAAGGGCGACUUCUCCAGCCGGGCACGCGAAGUGAUUUCUCACAUUGGCAAACUGAGAGAUUUUCUUCUGGAACACAGGAAAGAUUAUAUUAAUGCUUAUAGCCAUACCAUGUCUGAAUAUGGGAGGAUGACAGACACAGAACGAGACCAGAUAGACCAGGAUGCCCAGAUAUUUAUGAGGACCUGUUCAGAAGCAAUUCAACAACUACGAACAGAAGCUCACAAGGAGAUACAUUCCCAGCAAGUGAAGGAGCACAGGACUGCUGUAUUGGAUUUCAUUGAAGAUUACUUAAAAAGUAUUUCAUUUUCUUUUAAAGGUCAAAUGUGGCAUUUCACAAUAGAUGUGAUGCAGAAUUUAGCUUUGCUAGCUGAAGACUGUAGUAUCUCAUUAUAUUUAAUGAUGCCUUUGCCUGAGAAGCUGUUUUAAGCAGUCUCUCUUCUGGUAUUUUCCCCUGCAACAGGAGUAUGUAAACUUUACUCAGAACAGAGAGCCAUCCGAGUUAAAAGAGUGGUGGAUAAGAAAAGACUAUCUAAGCUGGAACCAGAACCAAAUACAAAGACAAGAGAAUCCACAUCUUCUGAGAAAGUUUCACAGAGUC